GGGAAAUGAAGCAAGCUAUCCCCUGGAAAUGUGCUCACACUGUUUUGAACUAAUACAGGGGCUUACCAGCAAGUAUUUUAUUUUGAAGUAAGAAUGACAUGACUUUACUGACAGAUAAAUAUUUCAUGGAAAGAGCAUUGGAUUUGGAGUCAGAAGACUUUGGUUGAGCAAUAAAGUUUAAUAAUAUUUUCCUAUUUCUUUAAUAAGAAUCUCAGUAUUAUCUUUUCCUUCAAGAAAAAUAAAGGUUUUAGACUUA